rfam:Takifugu rubripes genomic scaffold, scaffold_6498
ACCAAGGUUCUUUUAAGGGCCACCCACAUAUCCCAAAGAGUUACAU